UACGUAGGGUCCGAGCGUUGUCCGGAGUUACUGGGCGUAAAGCGCACGUAGGCGGACAUUUAAGUCAGGGGUGAAAUCCCGGGGCUCAACACCGGAACUGCCUUUGAUACUGGGUGUCUAGAGUAUGGAAGAGGUGAGUGGAAUUCCGAGUGUAGAGGUGAAAUUCGUAGAUAUUCGCAAGAACACCAGUGGCGAAGGCGGCUUACUGGUCCGGUUCUGACGCUGAGGCGCGAAAGCGUGGGGAGCAAACAGG
rnacentral:rRNA from 1 species